AACCGGGACGUGGAUCCGCGGCGAUCGAGAAUCGAGACUGAACGAUAUCUGGUUUUAUCGCGUCCCUUUAUUAGUCGGCGGCUCGGAAGCGCCUUGUAAACAGCGGCGCCGGGCAAACGCGAGUCGCACUGUGCACUGCGCGCUGCGCCGCGGUGAACGGCCGGGACCACAGCGGAAACGUGCACCGUCCAGUCGGAGACUCCGGGAGAAUGGUUGCCAUCAUAUCGUGUGCCCCUGCGCUGGAUGCUGCCGCACAGCGGGCCGCGUCGAGAAACAAACUCGUCCGUGCACAUUUUCCAUACGCUGUUCAGUCGCCGAAGUGUCUGAAUUACCGACUCUGUAAAAAAUGCCGUGCACGGGAAUUGGUUGGAUUUUUAUGGUUUAAAAUGGAGAAACUACGUUGAGAAAUAGUAGGAACAUGAGAAGGAAGAAAAAGGCGAAAUAAAACUCGGUAAUGAAAAAGACACGAGACGAUAAGAAGAAAAAGUGAACGCACGAAGGAGUCGGUAAUGGCGGAACAGGCCGAGCACGGUACCCUCUACCGGCAGACGAUGGAACCCGCAGGUGCGCUGGUAGUGAAUUGAUUUACCGAGGGAAUGAUCGAAGAGAGACGAAGAUCAAUCAGAUCUAGAACAUAAAAUAGAGAGAAAGAGAUACAACUAUAGUAGUGCUCCGUCAUACUAGACGGUGCUGCCCUCACAGGACGUCACUCUAUUCGCACAUCAAUUUGCUUGGCGCUCCAUUUGAAACACUUGGCGUGAUAUUCGACUUGUACUUUUCGUCCCGAACGUGUUUGAGAACGACUCGAAGCGGCAAUCAUUUCUACGAUUAUCAAAAUAUUAUCUAGAAAACUAGACUAACAAGUACUAACCAGUUUCACUUGUACCAGUGUUAAUUGGGACGGCUAGCAAUCAGUAUUUGUUUGUACGAGAAGGAAUUUCGAAAGCAACGAAUAAUUUUAAAUCUAUUUAACUUCUUAUAAAAUCCCAAGAAGUUAAUAACUCGACUAAAUCACAGAAAAGUAGAUCUAAAUCCCAAAAAAGUUCUAAAUCCGAAAAUCUGCUAAAUUCGAGAAAGCAGCUAAAUCCGGGAAAUUAGCUAAAACCGAGAAAACAGCUAAAUCCGUCAAUUAAACCGUCAAUUCGUCAAAUAAACGACCGGUCUUCGUGAAUUAUAACGUCGAGAUUAUAAAUGUUUGGACUAUAGUCCAACGUUAUAAUAAUAAUAGUUAUAAUAAUAGUUAUAAUAUAGUUAUAAUAUAUAGUCAUAUAAUAGUUAUAAUAAUAGUUAUAAUAAUAGUUAUAACGUUAAAAUCAAUAGAAAACUUAUUAGGAAAAAGCAACAUGUCGGAAGAUAGAAAAUAAAUUGUCUCCAUAAACGUUGAUCAUUUGGGGGACUUUCACUUUCUAUACUAUCAACAGAAUUUGGAACUUUCUCUUCAAACAACGAAUACGUAGAGGAUUCAUCAUUCAUAACUCCAACUAUGCUAAUAUGUCGGGCGACUAAAUCUGUUUCAUAAGCAACAAAAAUGUGGUAUUUUUAUAAAUAAACGAAUUUAUUAUGCAUGACAA